rnacentral:lncRNA from 1 species
CGGAUGUUCAACAGUGUACGCACGCUGCGCGUACGCGUACGUAUGAGACUAGUUGCUGGUGUCCUACUGGAGUUGAGAAGAGAUCUGCUACCUGCCAUGAGGCCAUGUCUCUCAAGUUACCGCAAUAUUGUUGCCUUCAAACCUGUCGAGACCAGGUUUCCUUACAUGGCCAUGGCGCUCAAGG